rnacentral:rRNA from 1 species
UACGGAGGGGGCUAGCGUUGUUCGGAAUUACUGGGCGUAAAGCGCGCGUAGGCGGCUUUGUAAGUUAGAGGUGAAAGCCCGGAGCUCAACUCCGGAACUGCCUUUAAGACUGCAUCGCUAGAACGAUGGAGAGGUGAGUGGAAUUCCGAGUGUAGAGGUGAAAUUCGUAGAUAUCGGGAGGAACACCGGUGGCGAAGGCGGCGACCUGGGUAGAUACUGACGCUGAGGUGCGAAAGCGUGGGGAGCAAACAGG